UACGUAGGGUGCAAGCGUUUAAUCGGAAUUACUGGGCGUAAAGCGUGCGCAGGCGGUUUUGUAAGUCAGAUGUGAAAUCCCCGGGCUUAACCUGGGAACUGCGGUUGAAACUACAGGACUAGAAUCUGGCAGAGGGGGGUGGAAUUCCACGUGUAGCAGUGAAAUGCGUAGAGAUGUGGAGGAACACCGAUGGCGAAGGCAGCCCCCUGGGCUGAGAUUGACGCUCAGGCACGAAAGCGUGGGGAGCAAACAGG
rnacentral:rRNA from 1 species